UACAGAGGUCCCAAGCGUUGUUCGGAUUCACUGGGCGUAAAGGGUGCGUAGGCGGUCGUGCAAGUCGGAUGUGAAAUCUCAGGGCUCAACCCUGAAACUGCAUUCGAUACUGCGCGGCUAGAGUGCUGGAGGGGAGACUGGAAUUUACGGUGUAGCAGUGAAAUGCGUAGAUAUCGGAAGGAAGACCAGUGGCGAAGGCGAGUCUCUGGACAGUAACUGACGCUGAGGCACGAAGGCCAGGGGAGCAAACGGG
rnacentral:rRNA from 1 species